rnacentral:lncRNA from 1 species
CACUAAUUAAAUCUCUCAUAAAUACUAAGUCUAAAUUCAAUGGGCAAUCAGGUAUCAAAGUCCAUCGAUAUGAAACCUUGAUCAAAAAGUCCCAAACCAGUGGGACUCUUGACCCCGAUACCCAAAAUGUGUGGAACUCGUGAUUAGAGAAUCCUGAUUCUCGAUCAUAGAGUUUCAGACAUGUAGGACUCAAAGUCCAUGAGUAUUAAGACUCUUCAUCA